rnacentral:rRNA from 1 species
UACACUCCUACGGGAGGCAGCAGUGGGGAAUAUUGGCCAAUGGGCGCAAGCCUGAUCCAGCCAUGCCGCGUGAGUGAUGAAGGCCCUAGGGUUGUAAAGCUCUUUCACCGGUGAAGAUAAUGACGGUAACCGGAGAAGAAGCCCCGGCUAACUUCGUGCCAGCAGCCGCGGUAAUACGAAGGGGGCUAGCGUUGUUCGGAUUUACUGGGCGUAAAGCGCACGUAGGCGGACUAUUAAGUCAGGGGUGAAAUCCCGGGGCUCAACCCCGGAACUGCCUUUGAUACUGGUAGUCUUGAGUUCGAGAGAGGUGAGUGGAAUUCCGAGUGUAGAGGUGAAAUUCGUAGAUAUUCGGAGGAACACCAGUGGCGAAGGCGGCUCACUGGCUCGAUACUGACGCUGAGGUGCGAAAGCGUGGGGAGCAAACAGGAUUAGAAACCCUUGUAGUCCCAUGAU